rnacentral:rRNA from 1 species
CACGGGUGAGUAACACGUAUCCAACCUGCCGUCUACUCUUGGACAGCCUUCUGAAAGGAAGAUUAAUACAAGAUGGCAUCAUGAGUCCGCAUGUUCACAUGAUUAAAGGUAUUCCGGUAGACGAUGGGGAUGCGUCCCAUUAGAUAGUAGGCGGGGUAACGGCCCACCUAGUCUUCGAUGGAUAGGGGUUCUGAGAGGAAGGUCCCCCACAUUGGAACUGAGACACGGUCCAA